rnacentral:rRNA from 1 species
AAUGGCCUACCAAGCCGACGAUCCAUAGCUGGUCUGAGAGGAUGAUCAGCCAGACUGGAACUGAGACACGGUCCAGACUCCUACGGGAGGCAGCAGUGAGGAAUCUUCCACAAUGGGCGAAAGCCUGAUGGAGCAACGCCGCGUGAAGGAUGAAGGCCUUCGGGUUGUAAACUUCUUUUAUGAGUGAAGAAUAUGACGGUAACUCAUGAAUAAGCACCGGCUAACUACGUGCCAGCAGCCGCGGUCAUACGUAGGGUGCAAGCAUUAUCCGGAGUGACUGGGCGUAAAGAGUGCGUAGGCGGUUUAAUAAGUGAAUAGUGAAACCUGGUGGCUCAACCAUAAGACUAUUAUUCAAACUGUUAAACUCGAGAAUGGUAGAGGUAACUGGAAUUUCUUGUGUAGGAGUGAAAUCCGUAGAUAUAAGAAGGAACACCGAUGGCGUAGGCAGGUUACUGGGCCAUUUCUGACGCUAAGGCACGAAAGCGUGGGGAGCGAACCGGAUUAGAUACCCGGGU